rnacentral:rRNA from 1 species
UACGGAGGGGACUAGCGUUGUUCGGAAUUACUGGGCGUAAAGCGCGUGUAGGCGGCCAUCUAAGUCGGGCGUGAAAUCCCACGGCUCAACCGUGGAAGUGCACUCGAAACUGGAUGGCUAGAGUCCUGGAGAGGAAGGUGGAAUGCUUGGUGUAGAGGUGAAAUUCGUAGAUAUCAAGCGGAACACCGGUGGCGAAGGCGGCCUUCUGGACAGUGACUGACGCUGAGACGCGAAAGCGUGGGGAGCAAACGGG